GCUUCCCGGCUCCCAGGACAGCAGCACGCUGCGGGCCUUCACGUCCUCCUGCUGUACCACCGGCUUACUGGGGGGCUGUGGGCGGUCUGGGAGUCGGCGGAGGAGGGUAGAAGCAGGUCCCAACAGCCGGCACCCUGGCUCCUGGCCCAUGACCUGCCCUCAGGCCGCGAGAGGCCUGGGUGCCUGGGAAUUCACAUCCCCUGAGGGCAGCCUGGCACCGCGGGACGCCAGGCCUGAGAGCCCCGGAAGCGGCCCGGGUCGUGCAAUCCAUCAUUCUACAGGUGCAGGGGCUGAGGCUGUGGAGGGAUCCGUCCUGCUCGAGUUCACGCAGCUGCUGACUUCAACCCUGUGAGUCUUCCCCCGCCGAGGGGCUGCGCGUGUGUGUUAGGGGAGGAAUCUUGACUGCGAAAUGGUGCUACAGAUCUGUAGUCUCCCUCCUCUGGGCCUUAGGUCGGAAAUGGCUGUGCUGAGCUGGCCAGUGCUCCCUCACCUGGCCACACUUACAAAUAGCAGCUGAGGUUUACCAGAUGGCUGGCGUCGUGGGGUAUUUGGGGGCAUAAAGCUAAUGAAUGGUAUUUAAGGAACCUGAACCUUGACCAUGCCCGCCAAAUGAUAUUUCUUUUUUUUUCCAAAAAUUUUUAAUGUUUAUUUAUUAAAAAAUUUUAAAUGUUUUUAUCUAUGUUUGAGA